GGUUGAAUGGACCACCAAGGGAAUGAGCUUACGUGGACUGGUACAAGCUGGAACUUUACGCGGACUGGUCCAAACUAUUUCCUUGCAGUCCGCGAGCUUAGGUUGAGCUGAUUGGGAUCGUUUGUACGCGAGCUGGUACUUGCAGUCAAAGAACUCGUAGAUCUGGAACAGUUUGAUCACGGACUGGAACAGGCUUAUCGUACAAUCUGGAAUAGUUGAGGCGUACUGAAACUUGCAGAGAUCAGUCCACAUAUCGAUCUUGUUGAGAUCAAUGGUCAAAUACAGAUCAAAGUCAUGAUCAAAGAGAGGUGAUCGAUAGAGAUUAGGGUUUUUAGCAAUGUAGAGAGAUUUAGGAUUUAGGGUUUAUGGUCGAUAUUUUAGCUUAGGGUUUUAGAGAUCAAUCGUGCUGAUAACGUGUUGUGAAAGUAAUGGAAAAGUCUAUUUUUAUUCAUAAC
rnacentral:lncRNA from 1 species